CUUAUGCCGGCGACCGGCGGACGGGUGCGUAACGCGUAUGUAACCUACCUUUGACAGGGGGAUAACAUCGAGAAAUUGGUACUAAUACCCCAUAACAUCACCGGAGGCAUCUUCGGUGGUUGAAAACUCAGGUGGUCAGAGAUGGACAUGCGUUGUAUUAGGUAGACGGCGGGGUAACGGCCCACCGUGCCGACGAUGCGUAGGGGUUCUGAGAGGAAGGCCCCCCACACUGGUACUGAGACACGGACCAGACUCCUACGGAAGGCAGCAG
rnacentral:rRNA from 1 species